rnacentral:rRNA from 1 species
CACGUAGGCGGGUUACCAAGUCCGGGGUGAAAUCUUUCGGCUUAACCGGAAAAGUGCCUUGGAUACUGGUAGUCUCGAGGGAGGUAGGGGUAUGUGGAACUUCCGGUGGAGCGGUGAAAUGCGUUGAUAUCGGAAGGAACGCCGGUGGCGAAAGCGACGUACUGGACCUCUUCUGACGCUGAGGCGCGAAAGCCAGGGGAGCGAACGGGAUUAGAUACCCCGGUAGUCCUGGCCCUAAACGAUGGGUACUAAGUAGUAGACUUUCAUGGGUUUACUGCCGAAGCAAAAGUGGUAAGUACCCCGCCUGGGGAGUAUGGUCGCAAGGCUGAA